UCCCUUAUGGUGUAAUGGUAGCACUUCUGAUUCUGGUUCAGCCUGUCGUGGUUCGAGUCCAUGUAAGGGAACAA
rnacentral:tRNA from 2 species